rnacentral:rRNA from 1 species
UCNUCUGGCUUAACUGGGGGCUUGCGGUGGGUACGGGCCGGCUUGAGUGCGGUAGGGGAGACUGGAACUCCUGGUGUAGCGGUGGAAUGCGCAGAUAUCAGGAAGAACACCGGUGGCGAAGGCGGGUCUCUGGGCCGUUACUGACGCUGAGGAGCGAAAGCGUGGGGAGCGAACAGGAUUAGAUACCCUGGUAGUCCACGCCGUAAACGUUGGGCACUAGGCGUGGGGGGCCUUUUCCGGGUCUUCCGCGCCGUAGCUAACGCAUUAAGUGCCCCGCCUGGGGAGUACGGCCGCAAGGCUAAAACUCAAAGGAAUUGACGGGGGCCCGCACAAGCGGCGGAGCAUGCGGAUUAAUUCGAUGCAACGCGAAGAACCUUACCAAGGCUUGACAUGUGCCGGUCGGCUCCGGAGACGGGGUUUCCUCCUUGUGGGGCCGGUUCACAGGUGGUGCAUGGUUGUCGUCAGCUCGUGUCGUGAGAUGUUGGGUUAAGUCCCGCAACGAGCGCAACCCUUGUCCCGUGUUGCCAGCACGUUGUGGUGGGGACUCGCGGGAGACUGCCGGGGUCAACUCGGAGGAAGGUGGGGAUGACGUCAAAUCAUCAUGCCCCUUAUGUCUUGGGCUUCACGCAUGCUACAAUGGCCGGUACAGAGGGCUGCGAUACCGUGAGGUGGAGCGAAUCCCUUAGAGCCGGUCUCAGUUCGGAUCGGUGUCUGCAACUCGACACCGUGAAGUUGGAGUCGCUAGUAAUCGCAGAUCAGCAACGCUGCGGUGAAUACGUUCUCGGGCCUUGUACACACCGCCCGUCACGUCAUGAAAGUCGGCAACACCCGAAGCCCGUGGCCCUACGGGGAG